UACGUAGGGUGCAAGCGUUGUCCGGAAUUACUGGGCGUAAAGAGCUCGUAGGUGGUUUGUCGCGUUGUUCGUGAAAACUCACGGCUUAACUGUGGGCGUGCGGGCGAUACGGGCAGACUGGAGUACUGCAGGGGAGACUGGAAUUCCUGGUGUAGCGGUGGAAUGCGCAGAUAUCAGGAGGAACACCGGUGGCGAAGGCGGGUCUCUGGGCAGUAACUGACGCUGAGGAGCGAAAGCGUGGGGAGCGAACAGG
rnacentral:rRNA from 1 species